rnacentral:ncRNA from 2 species
AUAGUCAACGAGAACAGGCGAAAGCCGGGCGCUUUAUGCGCAGCAAGUGAAAGACUUGCGGGACUCAC